UGGGGAAUUUUACGCAAUGGGCGAAAGCCUGACGUAGCGACACCGCGUGAGCGAAGAAGCCCUUUGGGGUGUAAAGCUCUGUCGGCUGGAACGAAAAAAAUGACGGUACCAGCAAAGGAAGCAUCGGCUAACUACGUGCCAGCAGCCGCGGUAAGACGUAGGAUGCAAGCGUUGUCCGGAUUUAUUGGGCGUAAAGAGUUCGUAGGCGGUUUGUUAAGUCUGGUGUUAAAGAUCGGGGCUCAACCUCGGGAGUGCACUGGAUACUGGCAGACUGGAGUGCGGUAGAGGCAAGUGGAAUUCCCAGUGUAGCGGUGAAAUGCGUAGAUAUUGGGAAGAACACCAGUGGCGUAGGCGACUUGCUGGGCCGUAACUGACGCUGAGGAACGAAAGCCAGGGGAGCGAAUGGGAUUAGAUACCCCCGUAGUCC
rnacentral:rRNA from 1 species